CGCGGCCUAUCAGCUUGUUGGUGGGGUGAUGGCCUACCAAGGCGGUGACGGGUAGCCGGCCUGAGAGGGCGACCGGCCACACUGGGACUGAGACACGGCCCAGACUCCUACGGGAGGCAGCAGUGGGGAAUAUUGCGCAAUGGGCGGAAGCCUGACGCAGCGACGCCGCGUGGGGGAUGACGGCCUUCGGGUUGUAAACCUCUUUCGCCAGGGACGAAGCUUUUGUGACGGUACCUGGAGAAGAAGCACCGGCCAACUACGUGCCAGCAGCCGCGGUAACACGUAGGGUGCGAGCGUUGUCCGGAAUUAUUGGGCGUAAAGAGCUCGUAGGCGGUGUGUCGCGUCGGCCGUGAAAACCUGGGGCUUAACUCUGGGCGUGCGGUCGAUACGGGCAUCACUAGAGUUCGGCAGGGGAGACUGGAAUUCCUGGUGUAGCGGUGAAAUGCGCAGAUAUCAGGAGGAACACCGGUGGCGAAGGCGGGUCUCUGGGCCGAUACUGACGCUGAGGAGCGAAAGCAUGGGGAGCGAACAGGAUUAGAUACCCUGGUAGUCCAUGCCGUAAACGUUGGGCGCUAGGUGUGGGGACCAUUCCACGGUUUCUGUGCCGCAGCUAACGCAUUAAGCGCCCCGCCUGGGGAGUACGG
rnacentral:rRNA from 1 species